rnacentral:misc_RNA from 1 species
GAUGAAGAACGCAGCGAAAUGCGAUAAGUAGUGUGAAUUGCAGAAUUCAGUGAAUCAUCGAAUCUUUGAACGCACAUUGCGCCCCUUGGUAUUCCAUGGGGAAUGCCUGUUCGAGCGUCAUUUGUACCUUCAAGCUCUGCUUGGUGUUGGGUGUUUGUCUCGCCUCUGCGUGUAGACUCGCCUUAAAACAAUUGGCAGCCGGCGUAUUGAUUUCGGAGCGCAGUACAUCUCGCGCUUUGCACUCAUAACGACGACGUCCAAAAGUACAUUUUUACACUCUUGACCUCGGAUCAGGUAGGGAUACCCGCUGAACUUAAGCAUAUCAAUAAGCGGAGGA